rnacentral:rRNA from 1 species
AACGAACGCUGGCGGCAUGCCUAACACAUGCAAGUCGAACGAGACCUUCGGGUCUAGUGGCGCACGGGUGCGUAACGCGUGGGAACCUGCCCUUAGGUUCGGAAUAACUCCCCGAAAGGGGUGCUAAUACCGGAUAAUGUCUUCGGACCAAAGAUUUAUCGCCUUUGGAUGGGCCCGCGUUGGAUUCGCUAGUUGGUAGGGUAAUAGCCUACCAAGGCGACGAUCCAUAGCUGGUCUGAGAGGAUGAUCAGCCACACUGGGAGUGAGACACGGCCCAGACUCCUACGGGAGGCAGCAGUGGGGAAUAUUGGACAAUGGGCGAAAGCCUGAUCCAGCAAUGCCGCGUGAGUGAUGAAGGCCUUAGGGUUGUAAAGCUCUUUUACCCGGGAUGAUAAUGACAGUACCGGGAGAAUAAGCUCCGGCUAACUCCGUG